GAUAAAAAUUGUGAUUUUGAAAAUUUAUUUAUAAUUUGUUUUACAUGUAAAUUUUAGUAUGAAUUUUUAAUUAUUUUAAUAAUAUAAGUUAAAUUGCAGUAAUUAAUAUUAAAAAUUUAAGAAAUUAAGAUUUAGAAAUAUUAAAAUUAUUAACAAAUUUUGUGCCAGCAGUUGCGGUUAUACGAAAAAAUGAAAUAAAUUUUUUUAG
rnacentral:rRNA from 1 species